GAUGAACGCUGGCGGCGUGCCUAAUACAUGCAAGUCGAACGAAGCCUUCGGGCUUAGUGGCGAACGGGUGAGUAACACGUUGGUACCUACCCUCUAGUGGGGAAUAACUGGCCGAAAGGUCGGCUAAUACCGCAUAAUACCGCAAGGUUAAAGCAGCAAUGCGCUAGAGGAGGGGCCUGCGUCCCAUCAGCUUGUUGGUAGUGUAAUGGACUACCAAGGCGACGAUGGGUAGCUGGAUCGAGAGGUUGACCAGCCACACUGGGACUGAGAUACGGCCCAGACUCCUACGGGAGGCAGCAGUAAGGAAUCUUCCACAAUGGACGAAAGUCUGAUGGAGCAACGCCGCGUGCAGGAUGACGGCCUUCGGGUUGUAAACUGCUUUUAUAUGGGAAGAUUAUGACGGUACCAUAUGAAUAAGGUCCGGCUAACUACAUGCCAGCAGCCGCGGUAA
rnacentral:rRNA from 1 species